rnacentral:misc_RNA from 1 species
GCUCCGUUGGUGAACCAGCGGAGGGAUCAUUACCGAGUGCGAACUCAUAACCCUUUGUGAACCUAUAUCUGUUGCUUCGGCGGCUCGCUCUCGGGCGAGCCCGCCGGUAAUAUCAGUAUCUCUGUUUGAACCCGACGAUACCUCUGAGUGUUCUUAGCGAACAGUUAAAACUUUUAACAACGGAUCUCUUGGCUCUA